GAUGAACGCUGGCGGCGUGCUUAAUACAUGCAAGUCGAACGAACAGACCAGGAGCUUGCUUCCUUGACGUUUGCCGCGGACGUGUGAGUAACACGUGCAAACUCUCCCUAUCAGACUGGUAUAACUUCGAGACACCGUCUCAAAUAGCGGACAAUCUACUGAACCGCAUGCUUCAGCAGUAAAGAACGGCUUUGCUGUCACUUAUCGCUGCCUCCGCGCCGCAUUAGCUGGUUGCGAAGGUAACGGCUUACCAAGGCAACGAUGCGUAGCCGACCUGAGAGGGUGAUCGGCCACACUGGAACUGAGACACGGACCAGACUCCUACGGGAGGCAGCAGUAGGGAAUCUUACGCAAUGGGCGAAAGCCUGACGGAGCAACGCCGCGCGAGUGAUGAAGGUGUUCGGAUCGUAAAACUCUGUUAUUAGGGAAGAACAAAUGUGUACGGAACUAUGCACGUAUUGACGGUACCUAAACAGAAAGCCACGGCUAACUACGUG
rnacentral:rRNA from 1 species